UACAGCCCAUGUAUAUUUAUUAUAUUUGUCUUACACUACGGUAUUCUAAUAAUGUUUCAGUACUUAGUGUGUUUUCUACGAGCGAUUGACGUAAUCGUUACGUAUUAAACGUCUUUUGUGUAUGCGGUUCCCUACAAAGUAUAUUGUUUCGGCGGCAAGCUCUAAGUAUAUUGUUUCGUCACGUAGACGUCUCAAAUGUACGUAUUGAACGUCUCGAAGUAACGUAUAUGUGGUCAGUGGUCUGGUCUGGUAUACAGUGUGACUGAUUGUAGUAGCAGGAGGGCUCUCCGGGCUCUAGCACGGCUACGAGCACGAGAGCUCGACGCCCAUACCGUACCUAGGACGAAACGGAACGUAGGUUCCGCCGUACGACUUCGGGUUUACACAACCACGGUUGAGGCCGUCACCGUGCAGUAAUAGUUCCAUGACCUCGUGGAAAGCGUACGACCCGGAACUUCGUCCCUUUCCUACGUUCGUAUCCUCUGGAUCAAAAUUGUGUUCUGUCUGGAGUAGAAACUGACACGGCGUCAGCGGAACAUUGGAGAACAGGCGGCAGAGGUACUCGCUGGGUAACACGGUUACAACUUCUUGGGUCAACUGGUCGUACUCGGCCAACGGAACGCGCAGAACGAACUACCCGGAAACGCGCGUUUGUUGAAGCUCUUCCUUACGCGGCUUCCGUUUCUGCAGACAUUCUCCCCUGCGACAUGGUCAAACACAGUCGAGUCCACGAUCCAUGGGGUGGCAAGGUUGGUGUACACAACAGACGCCCAAGCAUGGCACCAGUAUAUUAGAACGCUCUGGCUUCAGCGGAUCGGCACGUAAGUAGAGUGACAGGUCCUCGUGUAACGAGCGGAACUACAGGGCUACCUGCUGUUGAAAGAGGGUGAAGAGCACGUUCAUCUCGUUCGGUGUACGUUGUGGAAACUACUAGCGUAGACCAGGGUCGGGUUUCACCCAGCGAACGGGAGAAGUAGUGUCAUGUCUAUGGAUAGUUCCGACGAUAAACCGUACAUCAGUAUGUGGUUGUCCUCAAGUACCAAAGAAGCUGUUAUCGGCUCAUCGACGUGCUCCAAUGCCACGGCUUCCGCCGGUUACGAAUGUUGAAGCCUCUGCUUGAGGAAGUACGGGACGGAGUCAAGUACCCUGUUGAAGAAAUGCCGUUGUAGAUCAAACCUACAGCCCUCUUGAGGAAACAUGUGGAAGGGCUUGGGAGGACAUGGUUCGUCCACGAACAAGAACUUGGGGAGACAACGUUCCUUGUCUAGAAAUAUCCUCUUGGCUACACCAGGCUUGAGCCGAAGGGUUAGGAGCGCGUCGAGCCACAUGGAAUCAGCGGAGGCAUACUAGUCUUGCUACCGUCAAGGGUAUCGUUCGUGGUCACGACGUCAUCGAUAACCUUCCUGCUAGAAGUUCUGAGACCUGACCCAUAAGAAGUCUUGUUCAACUCCAUCGAAACCGUUAGACCGCCACAGUUACUGGCCUCGCCCCGGUAGGUACGACUCUGAGGUGGGUUCGUGCUACAUAACACACGACUAGCCCGGUCAGCUUCUGCUCUUUGGUUGUAUUCGACCUAGGUGUUCAUGAACACUAUCUAGUAUCCACCGGCUCUGGUUACCAAACCGACCAAACUGGUGAUGAGAGUCACCUCGUUACCAGUGUGAUUAGACACACCGGGGAAGUAGUAUCAGGUGGGUAUGGACGUAUCGAAGUGGCGAUAAAUCCGAGUUCAACGACUUCUACGGGUAUAGUAGUAUCUUCGGUCGUCCCGCGCUAACGUGCCUCGCCUGUGACAACUACAGCUAUGGCUGAACUAACAGCAACUACAGGAAGUCGAGUCACAAAACCUUCCACAGCUAGAGCUGACGUUUAUAUACCAACGACCUCAAUGGUAACAAGAACAGUAACUCCUCCGGGUCCUUGACCAAACGUUCGUGUAACCUCUUUACCAAGGAGCCCCUCUACUUCUUCCGGUAAGGCAGUUGUGAACAGAGUACUAUCUGUCUCGACUACGGCUUGUGCUUUCUGCGUCUCUUCCUAGCGUGAGAUGGUAACCUGCUGAACGCCUUUGCGUCCCCCCAACCCACCUUAAGUACCGGCAUCUCCAAUUGGCACGGCAACCAGUGGAACUCCUCAGGCAGACGACACUGGUGCCGCCGCGGCAGGUCCUACUCCAAACAGGGUCACUUCGGCCUCAUCUGUUUAACUAGAAGCUGAGGGGACGAUGUAUCCCCACGUUCCGGGUUCGAUUCCUUCUCCUCCCGUACAUCUUCCUUACUGUGUGGAAAGUAGAGACCGAACAGGCGUCGUUUUAGUCGUCUCCUCUACGUUCUUUUCCACGAGCCAUCUGGAGGUUCGCCACCUAUUUAAACCGAAGUUUAAUCACCGAUUGACCGUCGCAUAAUAGAUGAGCGGUAGAUCCCACUCCAAACACCUAUACGGACGGCUUCUGAACAGUUGCUGAAGAAGACUUCAUCGUCCAGUGUAAGUCACACAGUAAGGUUUAUUGAAGAUCAAACUUGUCAGUUCAAGGGAGGUUGAGUCCAUUACCGAUGACCCGUAUUUAGAAGACCAGGGCCAUCUGUUCAUAGAAGUAUUAUGGUUCCCGGUGUAUUAAAGCAGAUUUUAAUAAAAGGUAUGUAGUCGGUAAUACGACGAAAACGUUGCAGGCCCGUAACAACGAGGCACGUAGUGGUAGAUUAAACUGACUGCGAGUAAGACCCAGUUCUCUAACCUGUUAACCCACGUGUUAACUUCUCCCGCACGGGCAGUACAUCCGCGGGUAGUUGUUUACAGCAAAGACAACAGUGAUAGCAACUUACCGUGAGUACGGAUCUGAUUCUAUUGUACGAACACCCUUCUAUCCUGACCGUACUGAACGUCCCGCAAACAUUGUCCGACGGAUUAUUGAGGUAACGUUUGAUCCUCGAAGGGUCAUGUAGAAGCGACGCGCGACGAGUAGCUAUUGGUGGCGGAAAGGUGGUACUUCGGAGACGGGACCGAGCAUGACGAGGAGAAGGAACCGGAAUUGGUUGUUUAUCAACAAUGACCAUGACCACUGGUCAAGUAGAUGAGACCGAAGUGGCUGUGGUUAGACCAAGAGCUGCCACGCCGGUACCAGUGCCGUGUACCGCACGACCUGGAUUGGUUACCGAGACAGUCCGAGUUUCCGGUGCGCUAGGUGGGUCGAGGUAAUGCGAAGGUGUUCAAGAGGAGGUUAUCGUCGUGAGACGUUAGGAAGAGGCAAAGGAAACACAAACCGUAGUAGAGGGGUGUGGGUUCGUUACCGAAGUGGAAGAAGUAGAGUGGUUCGUUCUUGAAGAGUCCGCGGGAGGGCUGCGUCAUGUACCCGGAGGAAUCGCUGGUCUUGUUGCCGUACCGUUGCUUAGUGUAGAAACGCUAACUCGAGCUGUGUUAGGUUUUGUCACUCAAGGUCCUGUACUUGCUGUUGGUGCAGCCGCAGCUGUAGUUGUCAGAAGUGAGACAAGUCAGUCUGAGGCGACCGAAGAUACUACUAUUCGUACCAUGCAAAUUGUUGAACUGGGAACAAUCACCACUAGGAUACGUUCAAACCCACCUGAUGCUGGUUCUCCGGUGUGUCUAGUUACACUGGUACCGGGGCGAUUUGGAACGGUUUGGUCGGUCCCAGGAUUAUAGCUGGUUCGUGCUGGAUAGUUGUCAGGAGUGUCUUAGUCGUAUACGACCUAAGAGCAGUCGUCGUCCGUUCCGGUUGCGCUCUGUAAUACAAGAGCCCACCUCGAAACGGCACCUAUCAGGCCGGGGUCGUUAACUAUAGCGGUCCGACGGGUUCUACGGAGCAGAACCACCGAGGUUUCUGGACAGGUUCAAAGAUCUCUAUUAAGACGGUUAUCGUCGCCGCCGUCGUCCUCGCGAUUAGGAGCACCAAAAAGACGAGCAUUCUUCCGUAGACUCCAUACGUCUCGACUCUCUUCUAACCCUCCACCUCAAACCCGGUGUAGCGAAGAGUAUGUUUCUAAAUAAAGAACGGUGGGUUCCUAAGUUCCUGUUCAUGGACAAUCCUUCACCUCCUAAACCUUCCCAUAUGUUUCCUAACGAAGGCCACAGACGUUGCCUUUAUCGGCACUUCUCUCACACCGUACUAAGCUUAGUUCCCUACUUCCUUAAGUAUUGUCUUCAACAAUCGUAACCGGCGGAGGUUGUGGCGUUAGAACACGGGAAUUGUCCGAUGACGGCCGCUUUGUCACUUGAGGAAGAUCACAUACUUAAGUACAAUUUACCUUCGGAACUGUCCAUGAACAAGUCACUUCUCCCGUUCGGGUGGAACUCGACCCGAGUUUCCAAACCCUAUUAGUUUCUAUAGCGUAGUCGGAAUACGAUGGAGGUACUCCUCACGCUUUUCCAACAGUAGGUAGCUCUGUAGUUUCGUUCGUUGCACGAGGAGCUGCUACUCUACUUACCCGCUAAUCCACUGAAACCUGACCGUUCUGACAUACUAGUACCACAGCUGGGUGUCUGCUGAGUGGACCAACCGUGGUAUCCCAUGAAUCGGGGUCUCGAUCGUUCGUGUCCCUUCCGUUCGGGAGAGUGGCUACAUAAAAGAAAGCCGCACAAGAAAGAGCUCCAGUGUACACCCGUUUCCGGAUAAUCCGGUUUGCUUCUUCUCUUGGUCUAGUACAACCAGCUGACCCACGAGGUCGUAACCGUUUUUCCUAGUGGAUCACUAUGUCAUCUACCGUCCGACGUACCGUUGAUACACCUAGUUCUCCGUACAAACCACGACUUUAAUCCUAACUAUACGAGAGUGGGCAGGUACCUGCGUUCCGGGUCGUACGCAGUUCAAUACGUUAUAGAAUUACCACUGUACGGUGAGGGCCUCGAUUACUAUGGUCGAGUGUACUCGAAGGUCUGAGACCGGAACUACGUCUUGCUUCCCAAGCUAGGGAUACAGUCCAGGAGCAUAGGAAGUAGCUACCAAUCGAUACCCAGUCAUGAAAGGAAGAGUCCUCUUUCUACUAUACGUGUAUGACAGAUAACAGAAAAAGUAUAGUCGCGAAUAAAUUAAAACCAAACUGUACAUAUAACCCAUAGGACUAUAUACUAAUCCCUCACCUGACUAGUCUGACACUCACGUUACGUAAUUCUUAGACUUAUUACUUAUACCUUCAACUAGAAAUAAAAGGUGUCCCGGUCGGGUGAAUGGGCAGUACCAAUAAAGGGAGAUCUCUUACUCUAUCUUGAUCCAGGCGUUGGACCGGCCCCAGACGUAACAGUGAACUAUACGUGUGUUUCCUGACACCCCAAGUACUUGUUUAUUUGCUGGUCCCGUACGAAUACACGGGUGUUACAACAUCUUUUUAUUCGUAAGUGAGAGAGGAUAAUCAUAUUUGUUACAUUCUGUUUUCUACGAUGAUAAGAGACUUCUUCCCCCUCAAGAAAGUGUUCCAAAGAGGUAGGUAAUAUAGAGUCUAACUGAUGAUGUUAGUAGACAUACUGACUUGGUUUUAAAUAGUGUCAUUAUACCGCUCUCUAUUAUACAUUCAGAGAUUAAUCUAAAAAGAAGUAGGUGGACAUAAAAGUUCUAAUAAUCAUUACUAUAAUCCGG
rnacentral:rRNA from 1 species